GCGAGCGUAGUCCGGAAUUACUGGGCGUAAAGAGCUCGUAGGUGGUUUGUCGCGUAGUUCGUGAAAUCUCACGGCUUAACUGUGAGCGUGCGGGCGAUACGGGCAGACUUGAGUACUGCAGGGGAGACUGGAACUCCUGGUGUAGCGGUGGAAUGCGCAGAUAUCAGGAGGAACACCGGUGGCGAAGGCGGGUCUCUGGGCAGUAACUGACGCUGAGGAGCGAAAGCGUGGGGAGCGAACAGGAUUAGAUACCCUGGUAGUCCACGCCGUAAACGGUGGGUACUAGGUGUGGGUUUCCUUCCUUGGGAUCCGUGCCGUAGCUAGCGCAUUAAGUACCCCGCCUGGGGAGUACGGCCGCAAGGCUAAAACUCAAAGAAAUUGACGGGGGCCCGCACAAGCGGCGGAGCAUGUGGAUUAAUUCGAUGCAACGCGAAGAACCUUACCUGGGUUUGACAUGCACAGGACGCCGGCAGAGAUGUCGGUUCCCUUGUGGCCUGUGUGCAGGUGGUGCAUGGCUGUCGUCAGCUCGUGUCGUGAGAUGUUGGGUUAAGUCCCGCAACGAGCGCAACCCUUGUCUCAUGUUGCCAGCGGGUAAUGCCGGGGACUCGUGAGAGACUGCCGGGGUCAACUCGGAGGAAGGUGGGGAUGACGCCAAGUCAUCAUGCCCCUUAUGUCCAGGGCUUCACACAUGCUACAAUGGCCGGUACAAAGGGCUGCGAUGCCGCGAGGUUAAGCGAAUCCUUUUAAAGCCGGUCUCAGUUCGGAUCGGGGUCUGCAACUCGACCCCGUGAAGUCGGAGUCG
rnacentral:rRNA from 1 species